CCGGUCCCUGUUCUCUUUCCAGCCGAGCCGCCAAGCCUAAUUUGGCUCCUUCCACCUAAUUUUUGGGACGUCUUGGACCAAGUAACUGCUGCAGUGUGGGAUUUCUUCAGUAGGGGCUCGAGCAUUGCAACCUCUUUCUAGGUUAGGACCUCGUUGCUUGGAAAGCACACUUGCCUCGCGGUUAGAACUCGCCAAGUAAAUCUCCAGGUA